UACGUAGGGUGCAAGCGUUAAUCGGAAUUACUGGGCGUAAAGCGUGCGCAGGCGGUGAUGUAAGACAGGUGUGAAAUCCCCGGACUUAACCUGGGAACUGCAUUUGUGACUGCAUUGCUGGAGUGCGGCAGAGGGGGAUGGAAUUCCGCGUGUAGCAGUGAAAUGCGUAGAGAUGUGGAGGAAUACCGAUGGCGAAGGCAGCCCCCUGGGAUGAUACUGACGCUCAUGCACGAAAGCGUGGGGAGCAAACAGG
rnacentral:rRNA from 1 species